AACGCACCUUGCGCUCCCUGGUAUUCCGGGGAGCACGCCUGUUCGAGUGUCACGAAAUUUGUCAAGCUUGGAUGGCUUUUUUGUCUAUCCUUAGCCUUGGUUGUUGGGCUUUGCCGUGUCCUUCAUUGGGAACGGCUGGCCUUAAAAGCAUUAGCUGAUCCUCGUGUGGCACUGGUUCUACUCAGCGUGAUAAUAGUCUGAUCGCUGAGGACAUCUUUUGGGAUGGCCAGUCCUCAUUUGGGUUGCUUCUAAACUUGGUUUUGCAGAUUCUUCAAUCUGUGUUCCACUUUUCAGCUUUGACCUCGAAUCAGGUGGGACUACCCGCUGAACUUAA
rnacentral:misc_RNA from 1 species